rnacentral:tRNA from 1 species
GCCGGCGUAGCUCAGCCUGGCAGAGCACACGCCUCGUAAGCGUGGGGUCCCGUGUUCAACUCACGGCGCCGGCU